GAUAUCGGAGACCUAUUUUCAUAACUGUGUUAGUAUAAAAGAGUUUCCAAAAUUUACUCUAAUCAUUCUUAAUAUUUUUCGGUAGUGUAAUCCUAUUAAGAUAAUAUAGUACAAAUAUUAUAAUGUUUCAGUUCGCGAUCUUAAUUUUGUGCUUUCAGGCUUGCCUGAUUCAGACUGCCUUGAGUCAAUCGUGCGGAUGCAACACGUACGGCGGCACCGGCACCGGACAGGUGGGCGUGUCCGGCAACAUAGACGCGAGUGGCCAGACCGUCGUCGUCGGCUCCGUGCCCGUGCUCGGCUCCGUUGACUUCGGUGGCUGCGCGCCCGCGUCCGGCUCCGUGUCUAUCACCGGACAGUGCGGUUGCGACAGACUGCCAGUUUGAGCAGACAUUAUUACCUUCUGCGUCCACGUAUAUCCCGUCAGGCAGCGGCAUAGGCGCAGUCGCAGCGGUACAGCAGUCUGCACCCACCACGCCUAUUAUCAGCCAGAGUUCCACCAUCAGCAAGACUU